rnacentral:lncRNA from 1 species
UCUCUUUCGGCACCUUCUCUUUACUCCCAAAUGGGGCUUGUAUGACAAAAUAUAUGAAACAAAGGUAGAGUCAACUUUAAUAGAGACACAAAAAUUCAUGAUCACAAGAAAAAUUGACGUGACAUUGGCUCAUCAAUGCUAAUGAAUCUGUCCAGUUGAUGAAACUAUAGCAGGACCCCAAAGGCAUUAAGCAUAAAAUAAGAGCUG